rnacentral:misc_RNA from 1 species
GAUGAAGAACGUAGCGAAAUGCGAUACGUAAUGUGAAUUGCAGAAUUCAGUGAAUCAUCGAAUCUUUGAACGCACAUUGCGCCUGCCAGCACUCUGGCAGGCAUGCCUGUUCGAGCGUCAUUUCAACCAUCAAGCCCUAGGCUUGCGUUGGAGCCCUGCGGCUGCCGCAGGCCCCUAAAAGCAGUGGCGGGCUCGCUAUCACAUCGAGUGCAGUAGAUUACUCUUCGCUCAGGGCGUGUGGCGGGUUCCAGCCGUGAAACCCCCUACUUCUCAAGGUUGACCUCGGAUCAGGUAGGAAUACCCGCUGAACUUAAGCAUAUCAAUAAGCGGAGGA